rnacentral:lncRNA from 1 species
AAACCGCAGUUCGCCGCCGCCGCCGCCGGGCACCCAGCCCCAGGGGGGCGGGCUGGAGGGAGGGGGCGGGCGCUGGCCGGGGGACCCCCGCAACCAUGGCGGGCGGGGAGUGGGCUGCCGAGCCGCUUCACCUGCCGCAGAGGGGGCGGCCGGCGCCGCUUCACCUGCCGGAGCGGGAGGCCACCGAGGCGAGGCCGAGGCGGCGGCGCGCUCGGCGGCGCCUCCGGGUCCUAGAACCGCAUCCUCCCGCUCGCCUCGGGCGAGGGAUUGGCCGGGUCUGGGUGAAGGGGAUCACGGCCUGGGGAUUGGAGGGGCACAUCUUCUCCGCACCGAGGAUCUCAGCGACUGCGAGCACGGCUCGGAGACCCACGGUGGUGCAGCGUUGGGGCGCCAGGGCUGCGUUCCCGUCUCGCGUCCCGGACUGAGAAGAGCCACUGACAAGACUUUAAGCAAGAGACGGAGAGUUAACAUCUAAUCUGGAGGAAGACCCUGGAAGGAGCCAGCCCCUUCCCCCAGGCUGACCUGGUUUAAGCCUUUCUUCUGCCAAGGUCACCAGCACCCCAGAUGGGUGAGAGAUGUGAUCACUGGUUUCGUGGCCUGACCAAGGACCUCCAAGGCCUCAUGUGGAAUGCAGCCUCUGAGAAAAGCACUUCUCACCACUCAAAACCCACCGAAGCAUGCCCAGCCCUGAGAGGGGCUUCUAGGAAUGCAAAACGAGCUGUCUCUGCAGCCACGAGCAGAGCUAACUGCAUAAUAAGCACACUGGAGGGGAUUCACAGGCUUUGAGGAUUGUUUUGAAGGAAGAGAAAUAGGUCCUACUUCUGUGGGAGACUGAUUAUUCCUUUAACUCCAAUCA